GAAUGCUGACAUAAGUAACGAUAAAGCGGGUGAAAAGCCCGCUCGCCGGAAGACCAAGGGUUCCUGUCCAACGUUAAUCGGGGCAGGGUGAGUCGACCCCUAAGGCGAGGCCGAAAGGCGUAGUCGAUGGGAAACGGGUUAAUAUUCCCGUACUUGGUGUUACUGCGAAGGGGGGACGGAGAAGGCUAUGUUGGCCGGGCGACGGUUGUCCCGGUUUAAGCGUGUAGGUGUGUGUUCCAGGUAAAUCCGGUUCACUUUAACACUGAGGCGUGACGACGAGGCACUACGGUGCUGAAGCAACAAAUGCCCUGCUUCCAGG
rnacentral:rRNA from 2 species